rnacentral:rRNA from 1 species
UACGUAGGGGGCUAGCGUUGUCCGGAUUUAUUGGGCGUAAAGAGCGUGUAGGCGGCCUGGUAGGUCUGCUGUGAAAACUCGAGGCUCAACCUCGAGAUGUCGGCGGAAACCAUCUGGCUAGAGUCCGGAAGAGGAGAGUGGAAUUCCUGGUGUAGCGGUGGAAUGCGCAGAUAUCAGGAGGAACACCUAUAGCGAAGGCAGCUUGCUGGGACGUUACUGACGCUAAGGCGCGAAAGCGUGGGGAGCGAACAGG